GCAAGAAGCCGCUGCGAUAGUGCUAAAAAUAUUUUACAUUCUAUAAUUGUACAAAUUAUAUAAAUAUUUGCACAGUGUUUGGCCACAGAUUUGUUCGGCCAAUUGUUUGUAUUUUCCGCCAGCCGAAUGUGGAUCAAGUUUAAGUUUAUUACCAACGGAUAAGGAAAGGAGUUUGCCAAGCCCAAGGUGGCUCAUUCGCCAGUCGAAAUUCGUAAGUAAAUUCCGUGAGAAAACACAAGUGUGUAUAGAGCAUUGCUGCGUCGAAAAUGAAAACAAAAUGCGGUUUAACGUGUGAAUUGGAUGUUCGUGACGGAAUGAAAGCGCCAAAAUACUCGUUCGUAGCGAACCGAAGCGGUAAUACCCUAUAAAAUAUUAUUAAACCAUUAUUGAGCAAGCGCACAUUUUUUUAAACAAACCUCGGAAUUUCCAAUGAAUAAAAUGAUUCAUUACAAAUGAA